GCAAACUUGGUCAUUUAGAGGAAGUAAAAGUCGUAACAAGGUCUCCGUUGGUGAACCAGCGGAGGGAUCAUUACCGAGUUGUCCCAACUCCCCAACCCCCUGUGAACCUCUACCGCAGUUGCCUCGGCGGGCGCCAGCCGCCCGCCGCAGGGACCAACCAAACCCUCUGCGUUCGCGCCGCCGGCGGAAUUCUCCCUCUGAGUGUACUAGCGAGAAAAUGAAAUCAAAACUUUCAACAACGGAUCUCUUGGCUCUGGCAUCGAUGAAGAACGCAGC
rnacentral:misc_RNA from 1 species